GUCUCACAGCUGCAAACCCCAACCCCAGGAGAUUGGAGGAAAUUCUUCAGCUUCCUCAACUCCAUCAUGCUGGGAUGAUAACGACUUUUCAGGGAAGAAAGGGGAACAGCAAAUGGAGUUGAAGAGGGAUUUACCUGAAGAACAAGGAUGUAGGAGGGAAGUGGCUGCCAAAAACAGGCAGCUUCACCAGAACUUGUCCCUCUGAUAUUUUUGCAGUAGGAGUGUGAGACAGCACAGCACAAGGAUUCUUUUCCUCUCCACCACAGGCAGCCAGGCUUCUGAAACCUGAUAUUUCUUUAAAACAUUGUCCUCCCCCACCAGGACAAGCAGUAAGCACAGUUAACUAUUCGAGGACAUCAGUAAAGCAACAAGAGCAACUCCUUUCCUGCUCCUGGGCACGUUAGUCCUUUAACCAACACACUCACUGGAGGCAAACAAGUUGUUCUCCCUUGGAGAUCCCAUCCCAAAUGCAAAUACCUAACUCACAGGAGCAAAGUCCUCCCCAAAGCUGACUGAAGAAUUAAGCUGUGAGUGAUACUUCCUGCUGUGUGAGCAGCUGGUACAGGAGAACGUGUAUGAUAAAGCUAAUAACAACAGACACUUCUUAAAAGCCUGCACUCCACUCAGAUCCCAGGAAAGAGCAGCCGUGCAAUUAGGUGAGGUGCCAUCUGGAAACUUCUAAUGUAAUGAUACGUGUUGAGAUCAUGUCACACACUAGAAACACAGAUCAGCUUUAUGAAAUACUCAAUGCCCCUUGGUUUACCUUUAAGCAACUGAUGCAGAAAUAUUUUGUGCUCAGAGAAGUAUGACUUUAUUAGAGUAAGAGAGAUGGGUUUAACAGCACCACUCUGCCCGAGGACACAAAGCACCCACCUGUCUGCAGGAGCUGAGCACAAACCAUCACAUGAAAUACAGAGAUUUGCACUUUUCCCUAAUCUGCUACACAGUGCCCUAAUUUCUGUGCCUGCACACAACAAUAACACUACUUCCCUCAGUUUUCAGGCACAAUUUAGUA